CGGACGGGUGAGUAAUGCCUAGGAAUCUGCCUGGUAGUGGGGGACAACGUUUCGAAAGGAACGCUAAUACCGCAUACGUCCUACGGGAGAAAGCAGGGGACCUUCGGGCCUUGCGCUAUCAGAUGAGCCUAGGUCGGAUUAGNUAGUUGGUGAGGUAAUGGCUCACCAAGGCGACGAUCCGUAACUGGUCUGAGAGGAUGAUCAGUCACACUGGAACUGAGACACGGUCCAGACUCCUACGGGAGGCAGCAGGC
rnacentral:rRNA from 1 species